AAGCGGGUCCAGCAACAACUGCCAUUUCCUAAAAGAUGGGUUUUGGCACUGCAUAUGCAAUUUUGCAGGCAUACUGUGGGCUACUUCUGGGAAUCCACAUGGUCUCUUAGGUAAGUAAAAAUCUCUACAGCCUGCCCUCGAUGUUUGAGCCUCCAAAAUGCUAUGUGCAAAUAUGUGGAUGACCUAAAAUGCGGAUUUUUAUGCAGUAAGAAGAGUUGCAUGCUCAAAACAGUAAAUUUAGAUAUAUUAGGAUAUUUAUUAACCACACGGGGUGUUCCAAGCUCAGUUUAUUUAUCUUUGUAAAGUGCUUCCAGAUCUUUGCAUGGAAGGCACUAGAAAAAUGAAAGGCUUAUUAUUAUUAUUAUUGUUAUUAUUGUUGUUGUUAUUAUUAUUACAGCAUCUAACUACUGACAGGCAACCACAGCUGCAUGCUCAAUUCAAGCCACUUAAAUUUAGGGGCUGAUUUUUACACUAUUGACUCUUAAUACUUUUUCCCAUUGACUCCAUAUGCAGAAAUGUGUGUUCACCUGCCCCGCUGAAGUAUCAUUAUUCUCCAGAAAUAUGUAAAUGGAGUGCUUUUAAAGAAAGGAAGAAAAUGUGGCAUAAAUAUUAAGUGUUCACAUUUUAUGGUAAAACUCAACUGCCAUUUAAGAAGGGCUUCAAAGCAGCCAACUGUAUGAGCUGGUAGUUGUUCCUCUAUCAUUAAAAGAGAAAAUGCAUUGAUUAAAAUAAAACCAAGGAAUCUUGUAGACAAAGAAUAACAUUUACGGUGUUCUGGGGUCUGAGAUGAGCUACGAGCAGCCCAGGAAAUGGAGCCCUGAGUUUCACAGUCAAGCGGUUUCACCAGCACGGUUGUGCACAGCCGCGUGUGGGUUAUGUAAUCUCACACUUCACCCACCCACACCUAAAGACAACAGGCACCUUCGAAAGGUCUUGGCAUUAUUCAGAAGGAAGGCUCCCAGCAAUACCCCUACACGGUGUUUAACCUUAUCUCUACUUACCUUUAGGAGUUCCUUUCUCUUUUCUUUCCUCUCCUUCCUUCUUUCUACUUCUUUUUUUUUUUUUUUCCCUCCUUUUCCUUCCUGUGGUACAUCAAUAGUGAUAUUUUUGUGUCUCCAAAAAUGGAGCAGAUAUAGGGAGAAAAAUCCCAUUAGCACCAUGAUGUGUUUUCACGGCAGCUCUGAAGGUUUCGGUCAUGGCCGUUUUGUGCAUUUUGUAGCAUUGUCCUCAUGCUGUUAUUCUUUUUUUUUUUUUUUCUUUCUUUCUUUCUUUUUUUCCCUAAGUAGAGUUGAAAUGUUACAUUCUGAAAACACCAGCUAAGUAUUAAAUAGUACCUAGCCUAUGCUUUCUUUAGGUUUUAAAAUAGGAAAUAAUUAACCAGUGGUUUUAAAGAUCUCCAGAACAGUCAAACAGGCCUAUGAAACCCCAGGAUCUAAUAACAAAGACUGGAUUCUAGUUCAUUACCCUGCAGUAAAGCCAAACAGUCAUCAAUCGCGCUCAUUACAGCCGCUGGCGUUUUGAUUGGCUGCCUGCUGCUGGUAGCCCGCGUCCCCCAUCCUCCCGCUCUCCUCCAUGAGCUGUCGUGUACCUGCCAACAACAACAACAAAAAAAAUAUCAACAAUGCAAGAAUAAAUUUCUCCGGUUGAAAAACAACUUUGCAAACUUGUCAAACAGUCCUUGUCACUUUUUUUAAAAUUUUUUUUGGUUUUACACCAGAAAAAUUAAAAAAAAAAAAAAAAUUAGAAGGGAGAAACUUGAGCUUUAGAGAUGAAUAUUUGUCAAGAGAGUUGACGUAAGUUUCAUUUGCAUAAUGACUUUGUACUUCUGCAUUAAUAAAAUUUGCAUAUGAAGCCA